UUAACACAUGCAAGUCGAACGGAAAGGCCCUGCUUUUGUGGGGUGCUCGAGUGGCGAACGGGUGAGUAACACGUGAGUAACCUGCCCUUGACUUUGGGAUAACUUCAGGAAACUGGGGCUAAUACCGGAUAGGAGCUCCUGCUGCAUGGUGGGGGUUGGAAAGUUUCGGCGGUUGGGGAUGGACUCGCGGCUUAUCAGCUUGUUGGUGGGGUAGUGGCUUACCAAGGCUUUGACGGGUAGCCGGCCUGAGAGGGUGACCGGCCACAUUGGGACUGAGAUACGGCCCAGACUCCUACGGGAGGCAGCAGUGGGGAAUAUUGCACAAUGGGCGGAAGCCUGAUGCAGCAACGCCGCGUGCGGGAUGACGGCCUUCGGGUUGUAAACCGCUUUCGCCUGUGACGAAGCGUGAGUGACGGUAAUGGGUAAAGAAGCACCGGCUAACUACGUGCCAGCAGCCGCGGUGAUACGUAGGGUGCGAGCGUUGUCCGGAUUUAUUGGGCGUAAAGGGCUCGUAGGUGGUUGAUCGCGUCGGAAGUGUAAUCUUGGGGCUUAACCCUGAGCGUGCUUUCGAUACGGGUUGACUUGAGGAAGGUAGGGGAGAAUGGAAUUCCUGGUGGAGCGGUGGAAUGCGCAGAUAUCAGGAGGAACACCAGUGGCGAAGGCGGUUCUCUGGGCCUUUCCUGACGCUGAGGAGCGAAAGCGUGGGGAGCGAACAGGCUUAGAUACCCUGGUAGUCCACGCUGUAAACGGUGGGUACUAGGUGUGGGGUCCAUUCCACGGGCUCCGUGCCGUAGCUAACGCUUUAAGUACCCCGCCUGGGGAGUACGGCCGCAAGGCUAAAACUCAAAGGAAUUGACGGGGCCCCGCACAAGCGGCGGAGCAUGCGGAUUAAUUCGAUGCAACGCGUAGAACCUUACCUGGGUUUGACAUGGAUCGGGAGUGCUCAGAGAUGGGUGUGCCUCUUUUGGGGUCGGUUCACAGGUGGUGCAUGGCUGUCGUCAGCUCGUGUCGUGAGAUGUUGGGUUAAGUCCCGCAACGAGCGCAACCCUUGUUCACUGUUGCCAGCACGUUAUGGUGGGGACUCAGUGGAGACCGCCGGGGUCAACUCGGAGGAAGGUGGGGAUGACGUCAAGUCAUCAUGCCCCUUAUGUCCAGGGCUUCACGCAUGCUACAAUGGCUGGUACAGAGAGUGGCGAGCCUGUGAGGGUGAGCGAAUCUCGGAAAGCCGGUCUCAGUUCGGAUUGGGGUCUGCAACUCGACCUCAUGAAGUCGGAGUCGCUAGUAAUCGCAGAUCAGCAACGCUGCGGUGAAUACGUUCCCGGGGCUUGUACACACCGCCCGUCAAGUCAUGAAAGUUGGUAACACCCGAAGCCGGUGGCCUAACCGUUGUGGGGGAGCCGUCGAAGGUGGGACUGGUGAUUAGGACUAAAU
rnacentral:rRNA from 1 species